rnacentral:lncRNA from 1 species
AGAGUCAGUACACAUCUACAGACACAUGAAAGAGUAAAGGAAUGAACACGCGCCCAUGUCUGUGAACGAAUAGAAACUUCCAGAAAACGGGUGCCCCAAGUUCCUAGAUGAAGACACUUGGAGAGAAAUAUCCAGCUACAAAGAUGGCUAGCAACUUCAGAGACUGGCUGUGGCUCCCCACAUCAGGGGGUCAGUGUGGGCAUGAGAAGCCAGAGACAGCCCUUGUCUAGGAGCUAUGACUAUAUUCAUAUAAGAGUACUGAAUUCAGAUGUGACCUACAGCAAACAGGAACCCUCACUCAGAGUCCAGUAGUCUGGAAACACAGUCACUCAGGGAAUUCCUUGAGAAGUUCAAACAUACAUACAUACAUACAUACAUACAUACAUACAUACAUACAUGCAUACAUACAUACAUACAUACAUACAUACAUACGGAUGUAUAAGUCCUAGCACCAACUACAAGUUGCUAGACAUCUCUCCUGGGAACCUGGUACCUAAAAGCUCUUUUGAUGAUGCCUCAGCCACCAGCUGUAGCCAGCAAGCCCGCACAUUGUGAAAAUCCGUGUUUUUACAGGAGGCAUAGGUAUAGUUAAUCUCUAGCUGUAAAGAUAGCAUGAGAUUUUUAAUGAACAUGGAAGAUAAUUGACAAUUUCCUCGGGACCAGGAAUUAUAGUGUGCCUUUGGAAUAUCACAUAAUAUAGCAUAGUCGGUUUAUCAGCAAGCACGGAAAUGGAGUCUAAUUAUAAAGCCCUACCAGCCCAUUCUCUUCCUCCUGUCAUGAGCAAGACAGAUAUUAACAUGUUUACCAGACACAGGUUUCUUCUGAUAGACUGGUUAUGCUUGGCUGGGGGAUAUUUGUGGAGUUCAACUCGGGAUGGGUUGGAGGUAUGAUGGGCCAGCCGUGCUUGUCUCAGAGUUGAUAGUCCCACAGGCACCGCCAAGUCCUCCUUCUUUAAGGUUUCUGAGUGUUCCCGAUCAGAUGAACACCGUGAUUGUUAGCAUCAUGUCUUAACACAAACCUCCCUUCCUGAGCACCCUGACAUUUUUAUUGGCUACAAAGAUGAGUUUUCCCGGGCACAGGACAUUUCCCACACCUGUGACAUCUAUCUGUUAAAGAACAUCAAAAAUGCCUUGAGGCCUUACCAAACCUCCAUCUCUGUCUUUCCUACUGAAAUUGGUACUGGCCUGACAAACGCACUGUGAAGAGUUCUGAGAACCUCUGAGUGGCAGAGCCAUCUCCACCGGAGCCUUGGUUAUCCAUGGAGAAAGUCUGGAAGAAUAUCCCUGGAUUGCACAAACAAGACCCUAAAAGGUACAAGCCAUAAGGAAACAACGGAUAAUUUAGCCUACGUUAAAAUGUAAAGGUGGGAGCUGGAGAAAAGGCUCAGUAGGUGAGAGCAUACUACUCAUGCAGAGACCUGAGUUCAGUUACUGUCACCCACAGUGGGCAGAUGACAACUGCCUGUAAUUUCAGCUCCCAAGGAUCCAAUGCCUGCUGCCUCUAGCCUCUAUAGUCACCUGCAUCACAUACAAACACACACACACACACAGAGACAUACAUACAUACAUACACAUAAUUAAAGGUGUUGUAGUGUGUAUCUUUAAUCCCAGCACUCAGAAAGCAGAGGCAGGCAGAUCACUGUGAGUUCAAAGCCAGUCUGGGCUAUAGUGCAAGUUUCAGGACAGUCAGGCCUAUACAGAGAAACCCUAUUUC